UGGGACCUCCCUUCCAAGGACACUGGACACAAACAUAGACACCGAUGCAAAAAGCUGCCCAAAGCGCCUACCUAAUCCGACAGAAACGUAAACGGUCCAGAUAAGAACGAAUUAGAACCCUCAAGAAGGUCCGCAGAGACAGCGAAAAGAAGGUUUGCUGUGCAGGGAGUGUCGGCCACGCUUGGCGCACUGUCCCAGGCCCCGGGCGAAGGUGGCCAGGGAAAAUGGGGCUUAGGGAUUGCUAAGCAAACGGCACCAUUGGUGGUCUCCAGCGCCCGCGGAGAUAUUCACCUCUAUACUGAUCAAGGAGCUGCUGAAGGAAGACUGACUCCUGCAAAGCUCCCUUCAAGUGGGGUCUUUUUCUUUCUAUCAUGCAGUGUGUGAGUCCAUAGACAGGGGGAAUUGAUGAUGUAACAGAAGGAAAAGGUAAUUCAGCGAGUCCUUGAAAAGAUGAAGAAGAAUGGGAUCUGGAACACAAUCAGAAGUGUUGACUUUUGAUGGGAACAGGAACGGUUUUGCCAGCGUAACAGAGAGAAGGCACAGUCAUAGUUGAGUUCAUCAAAACAAAAUCCAUGCCUGAUAUUAUGUAUAAGGUGCAUAAAGGAAGGAGAAAACUGCCACCUAUCAACGAUUCCACUUAUUUUCUUGUGCAUGUUACAGAUUUAUUGCAAGUGCAACAUUUUAAAGUCCCAUUCCUUUCCCAUACCAGUUAUGGCACUUUUCUGACACACUGUCAAACACAAAAAAAGGGAACGUGGAAAAAAUGAUUGCACACAGGAGCAAUGAAGAGCUCUUGCUUCUGACUCCAGGGAUAUAAACACUGUUGGCAUGAAAUUAUACUCAAAGCUUUGUGUUCCCGAGAGAAUGGAGAAAAGGAAACCUGAAAAAGUGAUAUUUCCGCUUUAUUAAAACUCACAUGGUGGACUUCUGCCAAGAUGGAGGUAUAGGUGGAAGCACUGUGCCUUCUCCCACAACCAAGUUUAAAAACAACAAAGUUUUAGCAACAAAAACGCAGCUAAACCACAGAAAAUUGAACUAUAUGGAAAUCUGACAACAACGAACCCUUCAGCCAAACUGGUAAGAGGGGCAGAGCCAACAGCAGAGCGGGGUUGGGCAGGAAAGAUCUACCAGACCGACUGGGGCGCACGACCCAGGUGAGCCAGCAGCCCUGGGCAGAUCCCAGGUGUGGAGUAGCGGGUGGACCCACUGAGGGCUGACUGCAGUCACACAUUUGCUCGCAGAUAAACUGGUGAAGGAGCAAGCAAUGAGACGGACCUCACAGGCCCCAGUGGCGGGAAGCUGCAGAGGGGACCACUAUUGUCCCUCUCUGACCCCGCCCCUACAUACAGCAUCACAAACCAGUGACCUGGGUGGCCCCGCCCUGGUGAACACCUAAGGCUCCACUCCUCAUACAUAACAGGCAUGAACAGAUCAAAUCAUGGCUCAAGAACAACUCAGAGCCCCAGAGCCAAUAAAUCUAAGUGAUAAAGAAAUAGCCAAACUUUCAGAUGCACAGUUCAAAACACUGGUGAUCAGGAUGCUCACAGAACUGGUUGAUUUUAGUCACAAAUUAGAGGAACAAAUGAAGGCUAAACUAAUUGAAAUGAAGGGAAAUACACAGGAAACCAAUAGUGAUGGAAAGGAAACUGGGACUCAAAUCAAAGGAGUGGACCAGAAGGAGGAAAAAAAGGACCAAAGAGAAAAGGAUGAAGAAACAAGAAUUCAAAAAAAGGAGGAGAGGCUUAGGAACCUUCAGGACAUCUUUAAACGCUCUAACAUCUGAAUUUUAGGGGUACCAGAAGGGGAAGAGGAACAGCCACCAGUAGAAAACUUAUUUAAACAAAUAAUAAAGGAGAACUUCCCCAAUCUGGCAAAGGAAAUAGACUUCCAGGAAAUCCAGGAAGCUCAGAGAGUCCCAAAGAAGUUGGACCCAAGAAGAAACACACCAAGGCACAUCAUAAUUAUAUUAGCCAAGAUUAAAAUGAAGGAGAGAAUCCUACAAGCAGCAAGAGCUAAGGGGACAGUCACCUACAAAGGAGUUCCCAUCAGACUGUCAGCAGAUUUCUCAAAAGAGACCUUACAGGCAAGAAGGGGCUGGAAGGAAGUAUUCCAAGUCAUGAAAGGCAAGGACCUAUACCCAAGAUUGCUCUAUCCAGCAAAGCUUUCAUUUAGAAUGGAAGGGCAGAUAAAGUGCUUCUCAGAUAAGAUCAAAUUCAAGGAGUUCAUCAUCACCAAGCCCUUAUUAUAUGAAAUGUUAAAGGGACUUACCUAAGAAAAAGAAGAUAAAAAAGAUGAAUAGUGAAAGGACAGCAAACUCACAGUUAUUAAGAACCACACCUAAAACAAAAGCAAACUAAGAAGAUAACUAGAUCAGGAGCAGAACCAUAGAAAUGAAGAUCACAUGGAGGGUUAGCAACAGGGGAGUGGGAGAAUGAGAAGAGGGGAGAAGGUACAGAAAAUAAGUAGCAUAGAUGGUAGGUAGAGAAUAGAUAGGGGGAGGGCAAGAAUAGUAGGGGAAAUAUAGAAUCUAAAGAACUUGAAACA